GCCCUGGAGGACUAGUGGUUAGGCCACAGCACUCUCACUGCUGCGGCCUGGGUUCGAUUCCUGGCCAGGAAA
rnacentral:tRNA from 1 species